rnacentral:lncRNA from 1 species
UGGCUAGAAGUGCACAAUAUCGGUCUUAUCUCCAUGUUUCUGGUGCUGGCAGCGCUGGUGUAACUACCAGGGUAGGACUUCUUGAGGAAGCUGUGAACCCAGAGGAACAGGAUUCACUCUGAAGACUCAGAUCCCAUUGACAGGACCCACUGGCGCCGGGAUCCACUGACACCAGGAGCCACUGACACCAGAUCCCACUGAUCGUACCCAUGGCCAUGUACCAGCAGGCAGCUGUCUCCAAGCAGCAGGACAACACCUUCUCCAGCGGGGUCAUGGAGGAGUCUGAGGUCUGCUCUGUGCCUGGGGGGCUCGCCAGCGUCAGGGCACAAUUCGAGAACCAGGAAACUGCAACAUCGCACAAUGUCUCCCAGUUCCACUUCCACCGCAGAGCUGUGCAGGAAGUGCAAUUGAACUCUGAGGUGACAAUGAGGAGCAGUUCCAGAGAAGUCAUCCCAGCCUCGCAGCAGGCUAUUUUCCACCAGGAUGAACAGGUCACACAUGAAGUAAACAACUUUACCUCCGUUUAUGACAACAACCAUAAUGAUGAAAGAG